rnacentral:rRNA from 1 species
GGCCAAGUUUUUAAGGGCGCACGGUGGAUGCCUUGGCACCAGGAACCGAUGAAGGACGUGGGAGGCCACGAUAGGCCCCGGGGAGCUGUCAACCGAGCUUUGAUCCGGGGGUGUCCGAAUGGGGAAACCCGGCAGUCGUCAUGGGCUGUCACCCGCUGCUGAACACAUAGGCAGUGUGGAGGGAACGCGGGGAAGUGAAACAUCUCAGUACCCGCAGGAAGAGAAAACAACCGUGAUUCCGGGAGUAGUGGCGAGCGAAACCGGAUGAGGCCAAACCGUAUGCGUGUGAUACCCGGCAGGGGUUGCGCGUACGGGGUUGUGGGAGUUCUCUUGAUCAGUCUGCCGGCUGGUCGGCGAGUCAGAAACCGUACAGGUAGGCGAAGGACAUGCGAAAGGUCCGGCGUAGAGGGUAAGACCCCCGUAGCUGAAAUCUGUACGGCUCGCUUGAGAACCACCCAAGUAGCACGGGGCCCGAGAAAUCCCGUGUGAAUCUGGCGGGACCACCCGUUAAGCCUAAAUAUUCCCUGGUGACCGAUAGCGGAUAGUACCGUGAGGGAAUGGUGAAAAGUACCGCGGGAGCGGAGUGAAAUAGUACCUGAAACCGUGUGCCUACAAGCCGUGGGAGCGUCGCGCAUCAAGCUUGCUUGGUGCGUCGUGACUGCGUGCCUUUUGAAGAAUGAGCCUGCGAGUUUGCGGUGUGUUGCGAGGUUAACCCGUGUGGGGAAGCCGUAGCGAAAGCGAGUCCGAAUAGGGCGAUUGAGUAGCGCGCCCAAGACCCGAAGCGGAGUGAUCUAGCCAUGGGCAGGUUGAAGCGGAGGUAAGACUUCGUGGAGGACCGAACCCACCAGGGUUGAAAACCUGGGGGAUGACCUGUGGUUAGGGGUGAAAGGCCAAUCAAACUCCGUGAUAGCUGGUUCUCCCCGAAAUGCAUUUAGGUGCAGCGUCGUGUGUUUCUUGCCGGAGGUAGAGCACUGGAUAGGCGAUGGGCCCUACCGGGUUACUGACCUUAGCCAAACUCCGAAUGCCGGUAAGUGAGAGCGCGGCAGUGAGACUGUGGGGGAUAAGCUCCAUGGUCGAGAGGGAAACAGCCCAGAGCAUCGACUAAGGCCCCUAAGCGUACGCUAAGUGGGAAAGGAUGUGGAGUCGCAGAGACAACCAGGAGGUUGGCUUAGAAGCAGCCACCCUUGAAAGAGUGCGUAAUAGCUCACUGGUCAAGUGAUUCCGCGCCGACAAUGUAGCGGGGCUCAAGCGUACCGCCGAAGUCGUGUCAUUCACACAAUAGGUCCAACGACCGUGUGGAUGGGUAGGGGAGCGUCGUGUGCCGGGUGAAGCAGCCGCGGAAGCGAGUUGUGGACGGUUCACGAGUGAGAAUGCAGGCAUGAGUAGCGAUACACACGUGGGAAACGUGUGCGCCGAUUGACUAAGGGUUCCUGGGUCAAGCUGAUCUGCCCAGGGUAAGUCGGGACCUAAGGCGAGGCCGACAGGCGUAGUCGAUGGACAACCGGUUGAUAUUCCGGUACCCGCUUUGAAACGCCCAAUAUCGAAUCAGACGAUGCUAAGCCCGUGAAGCCGUUCCGGACCCUUCGGGGAAAGGAAAGUGGUGGAGCCGGUGACCCGGAUCUGUAGUAGGUAAGCGAUGGGGUGACGCAGGAAGGUAGUCCAGCCCGGGCGGUGGUAGUCCCGGGGUAAGGGUGUAGGCCGUGUGGUAGGCAAAUCCGUCACACAUUAAGGCUGAGACCUGAUGCCGAGCCGAUUGUGGUGAAGUGGAUGAUCCUAUGCUGUCGAGAAAAGCCUCUAGCGAGUUUCAUGGCGGCCCGUACCCUAAACCGACUCAGGUGGUCAGGUAGAGAAUACCGAGGCGUUCGGGUGAACUAUGGUUAAGGAACUCGGCAAAAUGCCCCCGUAACUUCGGGAGAAGGGGGGCCAUGUCUGGUGA